GAUGAACGCUGGCGGCGUGCCUAAUACAUGCAAGUCGAGCGAACAGAUAAGGAGCUUGCUCCUUUGACGUUAGCGGCGGACGGGUGAGUAACACGUGGGUAACCUACCUAUAAGACUGGAAUAACUCCGGGAAACCGGGGCUAAUGCCGGAUAACAUUUAGAACCGCAUGGUUCUAAAGUGAACGAUGGUUUUGCUAUCACUUAUAGAUGGACCCGCGCCGUAUUAGCUAGCUGGUAAGGUAACGGCUUACCAAGGCAACGAUACGUAGCCGACCUGAGAGGGUGAUCGGCCACACUGGAACUGAGACACGGUCCAGACUCCUACGGGAGGCAGCAGUAGGGAAUCUUCCGCAAUGGGCGAAAGCCUGACGGAGCAACGCCGCGUGAGUGAUGAAGGUCUUCGGAUCGUAAAACUCUGUUAUUAGGGAAGAACAAAUGUGUAAGUAACUGUGCACGUCUUGACGGUACCUAAUCAGAAAGCCACGGCUAACUACGUG
rnacentral:rRNA from 1 species